UCUCGGCUUAUCACCGGCAGUCCCCCUAGAGUGCCCAACUAAAUGAUGGCAACUAAAGACGAGGGUUGCGCUCGUUGCGGGACUUAACCCAACAUCUCACGACACGAGCUGACGACAGCCAUGCAGCACCUGUCACUCGUCCAGCCGAACUGAAGGGAUCCGUCUCUGGAACCCGCGACGAGGAUGUCAAACGCUGGUAAGGUUCUGCGCGUUACUUCGAAUUAAACCACAUGCUCCACCGCUUGUGCAGGCCCCCGUCAAUUUCUUUGAGUUUUAAUCUUGCGACCGUACUCCCCAGGCGGAAUGCUUAAAGCGUUAGCUGCGCCACUGAGCAGCAAGCUGCCCAACGGCUGGCAUUCAUCGUUUACGGCUGGGACUAC
rnacentral:misc_RNA from 1 species